AAGGCAGACAUUAGUUGUCUCACAAUGAUACAGCUUGAGGUGUUGAUUUUCUUUUUAAAUUAAUUUCUAGAUGAAUGUGCAUGUGGCAGACUUCAAGACAGUGAUAAUAUGAUACGUGGAACAAGGAAGAAAAGCAAUGAGCAGUUUCCCUGGCAGGUCCUGCUGCUGAACUCCGAAGGGAAGGGUUUCUGUGGAGGAGUGCUGCUAAAAAGUAACUUUGUGUUGACUACAGCAGAGUGUGCUCUUUUGCACGGGCAUUUCGAAGUCAGGGUUGGCACUGGUAGGUGAUCCAACACAUUUUCUCCUGUUGCAGCACAUUUUAGUAUUGACAAGCUCAAUUUAAAAAAAGCUUACUAAAAUUUCUGCUGUAUAAAAAUAUUAAAUGGGAUGACAGUAGAUUUGUUUCCUUUAAGCAUCUGAGUAAAGUAUCUUGAGCUAGAACUACAGAUGCUCCAUAUGCCCCUGUAAAUCAAGCAGAGAGGCAACUGCCUCUUGAAUGCAAUUCAGAACUCAGCACCUAGGGAUAAGACAAAUGAGAGGGAUUUAGAGGUGGCUUUUAUUUCAUGCCAAAACUUACUUCUCUUAUUGGGAUUCUAUCCUUUCUGCUGAAAUUAUGCAUGAUUCUACACAGCAUUAAAAAGCUAUAAGGGUAUCAUCCCUAGUUUACUGCAGUGGUUUCAAGGAAGAGC
ensembl:lncRNA